rnacentral:rRNA from 1 species
CGCACAUAAGACAUGACAAGUCGAACGAAAGUCGUUUUAGUGAGUUUGAGAUGAAAGAUUUAUCCGGAUUCAAAGAUGAACUAAACAAUGGCUUUAGUGGCGGACUGGUGAGUAACACGUAAGCAACCUGCCUGUUAGAGGGGAAUAACAACGAGAAAUCGUUGCUAAUACCGCAUAUGCCAUAUGAACCACAUGGUUCAAGUGGGAAAGGAGUAAUCCGCUAACAGAUGGGCUUGCGUCUGAUUAGAUAGUUGGUGGGGUAACGGCCCACCAAGUCAACGAUCAGUAGCCGGACUGAGAGGUUCAACGGCCACAUUGGGACUGAGAUACGGCCCAGACUCCUACGGGAGGCAGCAGUCGGGAAUAUUGCGCAAUGGAGGGAACUCUGACGCAGUGACGCCGCGUAUAGGAAGAAGGUUUUCGGAUUGUAAACUAUUGUCUGAAGAGAAGAUAAAAGACUGUACCUGCAAAGAAAGCUCCGGCUAACUACGUG